rnacentral:rRNA from 1 species
AUCAUGGAGUAUAAUAAUUAAAUUUAAUAAAUUUAAUAUAACUAUUAAUAGAAUUAGGUUACUAAUAAAUUAAUAACAAUUAAUUUUAAAACCUAAAGGUAAACCUUUAUAUUAAUAAUGUUUUUUUUUUAUUAUUUUUUUAUAAUAAGAAUAAUUAUUAAUAAUAAUAAACUAAGUGAACUGAAACAUCUAAGUAACUUAAGGAUAAGAAAUCAACAGAGAUAUUAUGAGUAUUGGUGAGAGAAAAUAAUAAAGGUCUAAUAAGUAUUAUGUGAAAAAAAUGUAAGAAAAUAGGAUAACAAAUUCUAAGACUAAAUACUAUUAAUAAGUAUAGUAAGUACCGUAAGGGAAAGUAUGAAAAUGAUUAUUUUAUAAGCAAUCAUGAAUAUAUUAUAUUAUAUUAAUGAUGUACCUUUUGUAUAAUGGGUCAGCAAGUAAUUAAUAUUAGUAAAACAAUAAGUUAUAAAUAAAUAGAAUAAUAUAUAUAUAUAAAAAAAUAUAUUAAAAUAUUUAAUUAAUAUUAAUUGACCCGAAAGCAAACGAUCUAACUAUGAUAAGAUGGAUAAACGAUCGAACAGGUUGAUGUUGCAAUAUCAUCUGAUUAAUUGUGGUUAGUAGUGAAAGACAAAUCUGGUUUGCAGAUAGCUGGUUUUCUAUGAAAUAUAUGUAAGUAUAGCCUUUAUAAAUAAUAAUUAUUAUAUAAUAUUAUAUAAAUAUUAUAUAAAGAAUGGUACAGCAAUUAAUAUAUAUUAGGGAACUAUUAAAGUUUUAUUAAUAAUAUUAAAUCUCGAAAUAUUUAAUUAUAUAUAAUAAAGAGUCAGAUUAUGUGCGAUAAGGUAAAUAAUCUAAAGGGAAACAGCCCAGAUUAAGAUAUAAAGUUCCUAAUAAAUAAUAAGUGAAAUAAAUAUUAAAAUAUUAUAAUAUAAUCAGUUAAUGGGUUUGACAAUAACCAUUUUUUAAUGAACAUGUAACAAUGCACUGAUUUAUAAUAAAUAAAAAAAAAUAAUAUUUAAAAUCAAAUAUAUAUAUAUUUGUUAAUAGAUAAUAUACGGAUCUUAAUAAUAAGAAUUAUUUAAUUCCUAAUAUGGAAUAUUAUAUUUUUAUAAUAAUAAUAAAAAUAUAAAUACUGAAUAUCUAAAUAUUAUUAUUACUUUUUUUUAAUAAUAAUAAUAUGGUAAUAGAACAUUUAAUGAUAAUAUAUAUUAGUUAUUAAUUAAUAUAUGUAUUAAUUAAAUAGAGAAUGCUGACAUGAGUAACGAAAAAAAGGUAUAAACCUUUUCACCUAAAACAUAAGGUUUAACUAUAAAAGUACGGCCCCUAAUUAAAUUAAUAAGAAUAUAAAUAUAUUUAAGAUGGGAUAAUCUAUAUUAAUAAAAAUUUAUCUUAAAAUAUAUAUAUUAUUAAUAAUUAUAUUAAUUAAUUAAUAAUAUAUAUAAUUAUAUUAUAUAUUAUAUUUUUAUAUAUAAUAUAUAUAAUAUAAACUAAUAAAGAUCAGGAAAUAAUUAAUGUAUACCGUAAUGUAGACCGACUCAGGUAUGUAAGUAGAGAAUAUGAAGGUGAAUUAGAUAAUUAAAGGGAAGGAACUCGGCAAAGAUAGCUCAUAAGUUAGUCAAUAAAGAGUAAUAAGAACAAAGUUGUACAACUGUUUACUAAAAACACCGCACUUUGCAGAAACGAUAAGUUUAAGUAUAAGGUGUGAACUCUGCUCCAUGCUUAAUAUAUAAAUAAAAUUAUUUAACGAUAAUUUUAUUAAAUUUAGGUAAAUAGCAGCCUUAUUAUGAGGGUUAUAAUGUAGCGAAAUUCCUUGGCCUAUAAUUGAGGUCCCGCAUGAAUGACGUAAUGAUACAACAACUGUCUCCCCUUUAAGCUAAGUGAAAUUGAAAUCGUAGUGAAGAUGCUAUGUACCUUCAGCAAGACGGAAAGACCCUAUGCAGCUUUACUGUAAUUAGAUAGAUCGAAUUAUUGUUUAUUAUAUUCAGCAUAUUAAGUAAUCCUAUUAUUAGGUAAUCGUUUAGAUAUUAAUGAGAUACUUAUUAUAAUAUAAUGAUAAUUCUAAUCUUAUAAAUAAUUAUUAUUAUUAUUAAUAAUAAUAAUAAUAUGCUUUCAAGCAUAGUGAUAAAACAUAUUUAUAUGAUAAUCACUUUACUUAAUAGAUAUAAUUCUUAAGUAAUAUAUAAUAUAUAUUAUAUAUAUAUUAUAUAUAAUAUAAGAGACAAUCUCUAAUUGGUAGUUUUGAUGGGGCGUCAUUAUCAGCAAAAGUAUCUGAAUAAGUCCAUAAAUAAAUAUAUAAAAUUAUUGAAUAAAAAAUAAUAUAUAUUAUAUAUAUUAAUUAUAAAUUGAAAUAUGUUUAUAUAAAUUUAUAUUUAUUGAAUAUAUUUUAGUAAUAGAUAAAAAUAUGUACAGUAAAAUUGUAAGGAAAACAAUAAUAACUUUCUCACUUAAAUAAAAAUGGAAAGAAUUAAAUUAAUAUAAUGGUAUAACUGUGCGAUAAUUGUAACACAAACGAGUGAAACAAGUACGUAAGUAUGGCAUAAUGAACAAAUAACACUGAUUGUAAAGGUUAUUGAUAACGAAUAAAAGUUACGCUAGGGAUAACAGGGUAAUAUAACGAAAGAGUAGAUAUUGUAAGUUAUGUUUGCCACCUCGAUGUCGACUCAACAUUUCCUCUUGGUUGUAAAAGCUAAGAAGGGUUUGACUGUUCGUCAAUUAAAAUGUUACGUGAGUUGGGUUAAAUACGAUGUGAAUCAGUAUGGUUCCUAUCUGCUGAAGGAAAUAUUAUCAAAUUAAAUCUCAUUAUUAGUACGCAAGGACCAUAAUGAAUCAACCCAUGGUGUAUCUAUUGAUAAUAAUAUAAUAUAUUUAAUAAAAAUAAUACUUUAUUAAUAUAUUAUCUAUAUUAGUUUAUAUUUUAAUUAUAUAUUAUCAUAGUAGAUAAGCUAAGUUGAUAAUAAAUAAAUAUUGAAUACAUAUUAAAUAUGAAGUUGUUUUAAUAAGAUAAUUAAUCUGAUAAUUUUAUACUAAAAUUAAUAAUUAUAGGUUUUAUAUAUUAUUUAUAAAUAAAUAUAUUAUAAUAAUAAUAAUUAUUAUUAUUAAUAAAAAAUAU